GAGGGCAUAGCUCAGUGGUAAAGCAUGUGCUUAGCAUGCAUGAGGUCCUGGGUUCAACCGCCAGUACCGCCA
rfam:Camelus ferus unplaced genomic scaffold scaffold331, whole genome shotgun sequence.